GGAAGGGCCUGCCUACUGCUUGGCUGAUGUCAACAGCGACCUUCCAGGAAGGCCUGGAAACCAGGCAUCUAUGGAUAGCUUACCCCGGCCCUUUCCUCUCCCCAGUACCCUGCCUCCUCCAGCUAGGAAGUAGCUAUUUGGGGCAGGGAAAUGAGAUGGCAGGACUGUCCCUCUGAGAUCAACUCAGCGCUCUGUGGCUCCCUGGAUAAUGGUUCUGUGUGUCCAGCCCAUCCUCCGGGUCCUGGCUAGUAACCCGAGCAAGUACUAAAUUGUGCGGCAUUUCUUUUGAAGAUUGUGGCUCAGCAAUGAGAGAGAAGGGAGAUGGAGCACUUUAGAGUUUCCCGGCAGUGCUCAUAGUGGAUGAAAGCCAGAGAGUAUACAUGGCUACCAGUGGGCGCUGGGGGCAGAUUGUUCUCGUCCUUCCAGAGACAGAGCAAGCCGGGCUAGUCCCUUUCUGCAGCGCAUCGAGCCGAAAGCUAAGAAUUCGUUACUUCUCAGGCCUGGGAGGUGAUGUCAGUCAAAGCACCAGCAGCCCUGAGCCAGGCAUCUGCCAUGAGGUCUUGUCCACUCCCAGCAAAGUCCCAUCAGGGCUGCCUCGGUGUUAGGAAGUCCUGGCGCCUUGCUCGUGCCAGCAGGAGGACCAAGGCUUCUCCUUGAGCCCAAUUAAAUGUCAGCAGGAUCAAUCUUCUUUUCUAAUUAUGUUUUUGUGUCAUAUCCCCUGGAGGAGGGCAUGGCAACCCACUCCAGUACUCUUGCUUGGAGAAUCCCCAUGGACAGAGGAGCUGGUGGGCUACAGUCCAUGGGGUCCCAAAGAGUUGGGCAUGACUGAGCAACUGAGCACAAGCACAAUCGCUGUGUGCCAAGCACUGCUUAAGGUGAUUAGACUGUACAUCAGUUUCACUGGACUGUACAUCAGACACAUUAGACCGUAUAUGGUCUGUAUGGUACAGUCUAAUGUUAGACUGCACAUCAGUUAUCG
ensembl:lncRNA